rnacentral:rRNA from 1 species
UUUGGAGGGCAUAUCUGGUGCCAGCAGCCGCGGUAAUUCCAGCUCCAAUAGCGUAUAUYAAAGUUGUUGCAGUUAAAAAGAUCGUAGUUGAAUUUUCGGGGUUAGUAGGUUGGUCAUGCCUCUGGUAUGUACUGGUCUCACUGAUUUCCUCCUUCCUGAUGAACCGUAAUGCCAUUAAUUUGGUGUUGCGGGGAAUUUGGACUGUUACUUUGAAAAAAUUAGAGUUUUAAAAAGCAGGCAA